rnacentral:rRNA from 1 species
CGAACGAGAACGGGAUUAAGUUUACUUAAUUUGUCAGCUAAGUGGCGCACGGGUGAGUAAUGUAUAGUUAACCUGCCCUCGAGAAAGGAAUAACAGUUGGAAACGACUGCUAAUGCCCUAUAUGCCUUUAAGACAUAAGUCUACAAGGGAAAUGCUUUUGUGCUCGAGGAUGGGACUGUAUGGUAUCAGAUAGUUGGUGAGGUAAUGGCUCACCAAGUCAAUGACGCCUAACUGGUUUGAGAGGAUGAUCAGUCACACUGGAACUGAGACACGGUCCAGACUCCUACGGGAGGCAGCAGUGGGGAAUAUUGCACAAUGGAGGAAACUCUGAUGCAGCAACGCCGCGUGGAGGAUGACACUUUUCGGAGCGUAAACUCCUUUUAUAUAGGAAGAUAAUGACGGUACUAUAUGAAUAAGCGCCGGCUAACUCCGUGCCAGCAGCCGCGGUAAUACGGAGGGCGCAAGCGUUACUCGGAAUCACUGGGCGUAAAGAGCGUGUAGGCGGGUUAAUAAGUCAGAAGUGAAAUCCUAUAGCUCAACUAUAGAACUGCUUUUGAAACUGUUAACCUAGAAUAUGGGAGAGGUAGAUGGAAUUUCUGGUGUAGGGGUAAAAUCCGUAGAGAUCAGAAGGAAUACCGAUU